rnacentral:rRNA from 1 species
GUUAAGCGACUAAGCGUACACGGUGGAUGCCCUGGCAGUCAGAGGCGAUGAAGGACGUGCUAAUCUGCGAUAAGCGUCGGUAAGGUGAUAUGAACCGUUAUAACCGGCGAUUUCCGAAUGGGGAAACCCAGUGUGUUUCGACACACUAUCAUUAACUGAAUCCAUAGGUUAAUGAGGCGAACCGGGGGAACUGAAACAUCUAAGUACCCCGAGGAAAAGAAAUCAACCGAGAUUCCCCCAGUAGCGGCGAGCGAACGGGGAGCAGCCCAGAGCCUGAAUCAGUGUGUGUGUUAGUGGAAGCGUCUGGAAAGGCGCGCGAUACAGGGUGACAGCCCCGUACACAAAAAUGCACAUGCUGUGAGCUCGAUGAGUAGGGCGGGACACGUGGUAUCCUGUCUGAAUAUGGGGGGACCAUCCUCCAAGGCUAAAUACUCCUGACUGACCGAUAGUGAACCAGUACCGUGAGGGAAAGGCGAAAAGAACCCCGGCGAGGGGAGUGAAAAAGAACCUGAAACCGUGUACGUACAAGCAGUGGGAGCACGCUUAGGCGUGUGACUGCGUACCUUUUGUAUAAUGGGUCAGCGACUUAUAUUCUGUAGCAAGGUUAACCGAAUAGGGGAGCCGAAGGGAAACCGAGUCUUAACUGGGCGUUAAGUUGCAGGGUAUAGACCCGAAACCCGGUGAUCUAGCCAUGGGCAGGUUGAAGGUUGGGUAACACUAACUGGAGGACCGAACCGACUAAUGUUGAAAAAUUAGCGGAUGACUUGUGGCUGGGGGUGAAAGGCCAAUCAAACCGGGAGAUAGCUGGUUCUCCCCGAAAGCUAUUUAGGUAGCGCCUCGUGAAUUCAUCUCCGGGGGUAGAGCACUGUUUCGGCAAGGGGGUCAUCCCGACUUACCAACCCGAUGCAAACUGCGAAUACCGGAGAAUGUUAUCACGGGAGACACACGGCGGGUGCUAACGUCCGUCGUGAAGAGGGAAACAACCCAGACCGCCAGCUAAGGUCCCAAAGUCAUGGUUAAGUGGGAAACGAUGUGGGAAGGCCCAGACAGCCAGGAUGUUGGCUUAGAAGCAGCCAUCAUUUAAAGAAAGCGUAAUAGCUCACUGGUCGAGUCGGCCUGCGCGGAAGAUGUAACGGGGCUAAACCAUGCACCGAAGCUGCGGCAGCGACGCUUAUGCGUUGUUGGGUAGGGGAGCGUUCUGUAAGCCUGCGAAGGUGUGCUGUGAGGCAUGCUGGAGGUAUCAGAAGUGCGAAUGCUGACAUAAGUAACGAUAAAGCGGGUGAAAAGCCCGCUCGCCGGAAGACCAAGGGUUCCUGUCCAACGUUAAUCGGGGCAGGGUGAGUCGACCCCUAAGGCGAGGCCGAAAGGCGUAGUCGAUGGGAAACAGGUUAAUAUUCCUGUACUUGGUGUUACUGCGAAGGGGGGACGGAGAAGGCUAUGUUGGCCGGGCGACGGUUGUCCCGGUUUAAGCGUGUAGGCUGGUUUUCCAGGCAAAUCCGGAAAAUCAAGGCUGAGGCGUGAUGACGAGGUACUACGGUGCUGAAGCAACAAAUGCCCUGCUUCCAGGAAAAGCCUCUAAGCAUCAGGUAACAUCAAAUCGUACCCCAAACCGACACAGGUGGUCAGGUAGAGAAUACCAAGGCGCUUGAGAGAACUCGGGUGAAGGAACUAGGCAAAAUGGUGCCGUAACUUCGGGAGAAGGCACGCUGAUAUGUAGGUGAAGUCCCUCGCGGAUGGAGCUGAAAUCAGUCGAAGAUACCAGCUGGCUGCAACUGUUUAUUAAAAACACAGCACUGUGCAAACACGAAAGUGGACGUAUACGGUGUGACGCCUGCCCGGUGCCGGAAGGUUAAUUGAUGGGGU